rnacentral:rRNA from 1 species
GACGGGACCCGCACAAGCGGUGGAUGAUGUGGAUUAAUUCGAUGCAACGCGAAAACCUUACCUACCCUUGACAUGUCCGGAAUCCCGAAGAGAUUUGGGAGUGCUCGCAAGAGAGCCGGAACACAGGUGCUGCAUGGCUGUCGUCAGCUCGUGUCGUGAGAUGUUGGGUUAAGUCCCGCAACGAGCGCAACCCUUGUCAUUAGUUGCCAUCAUUUGGUUGGGCACUCUAAUGAGACUGCCGGUGACAAACCGGAGGAAGGUGGGGAUGACGUCAAGUCCUCAUGGCCCUUAUGGGUAGGGCUUCACACGUCAUACAAUGGUCGGUACAGAGGGUUGCCAACCCGCGAGGGGGAGCUAAUCCCACAAAGCCGAUCGUAGUCCGGAUCGCAGUCUGCAACUCGACUGCGUGAAGUCGGAAUCGCUAGUAAUCGUGGAUCAGCAUGUCACGGUGAAUACGUUCCCGGGUCUU